UACGGGGGGAGCAAGCGUUGUUCGGAUUUACUGGGCGUAAAGGGCGCGUAGGCGGCCAGCACAAGUCAGUUGUGAAAUCUCCGAGCUUAGCUCGGAAAGGUCAACUGAUACUGUGCUGCUAGAGUGCGGAAGGGGCAACUGGAAUUCUUGGUGUAGCGGUGAAAUGCGUAGAUAUCAAGAGGAACACCUGAGGUGAAGACGGGUUGCUGGGCUGACACUGACGCUGAGGCGCGAAAGCUAGGGGAGCAAACGGG
rnacentral:rRNA from 1 species